rnacentral:sRNA from 1 species
GCCGUCGGCCCGGCGAGAUCCACACCGCGGAGCGGCCCGCCCGGCUACGCUGGCCGGGUGCGCCUUCCAAUCAGAGGGCGCAAAGCCGACAGCCGUCGCAUCCCAGGGAGUACUUUCAUG